GGGCAAUUCAUGUUUUGAAUUACCUGUGCGACCACCUUGCAGAGCACAAUUUCCCAGUGAAAUUGUAACUUGGCACAUUUGCUCCAAUGGCAGCCUGCCCUUCAUCCUGAUCAUGGUUCCAUUUGAAAAUAAAGACCAUCCUGUCCAGGAAAAGGAAGGAAGGAAGCCUCCUCCUUUAAAAGCUGAAACUUUAACUUGCACCUAAUUUUGAACAGAAAGUGAGAAGACAUCGGUUAUCUUCUCAAACUCCAGAGCAUAGUACAUCUUCAAAGAGGCCCUUCUGCCUAUCCUGAGUGAAACUCAUUGGGAUGAAGCUGCUGUGUCUUCCAAGAGGGUUACCGCCUGGUAUUGAUCAGCAUAG
ensembl:lncRNA